rnacentral:rRNA from 1 species
AACUUUCAACAACGGAUCUCUUGGCUCUCGCAUCGAUGAAGAACGCAGCGAAAUGCGAUAAGUAAUGUGAAUUGCAGAAUUCAGUGAAUCAUCGAAUCUUUGAACGCACCUUGCGCCCCUUGGCAUUCCGAGGGGCAUGCCUGUUUGAGUGUCACGUUA